rnacentral:ncRNA from 1 species
UAAUAAUCUGGGCACUGUCUCGGAGAGAGACUCGACUAAAUAGACAUGUCUGUGAAUAUGUGGACUACUUGCACCUGGACAGAAAGACCCUAUGAAGCUUUACUAUUCCCUGGGAUUGUCUUUGGGUUAUUCUUGCGCAGUUUAGGUGGAAGGCGAAGAAGGCUCCCUCUCAGGGGGGCCUGAACCACCAGUGAGAUACCACUCUGGAAGAGAUAUAAUUCUAACCUUGUGUCAGGACCUACGGGCCAAGGGACACUCUCAGGUAGAUAGUUUAUAUGGGGUGUAGGCCUCCCAAAAGGUAACAGAGGCAUGCAAAGGUUUCCUCGGGCCGGACGGAAAUUGACCCUUGAGUGCAAAGGCAGAAGGGAGUUUGACUGCAAGACCCACCCAUCGAGUAGGGACAAAAGUCGGCCUUAGUGAUCCGAUGCUGCCAAGUGGAAGGGCCAUCGCUUAACGGAUAAAAUUUACUCUAGGGAUAACAGGCUAAUCUUCCCCAAGAGUUCACAUCGAUGGGAAGGUUUGGCAGCUCGAUGUCGGCUCUUCUCCACCUGGGUCCUUAGUACAUUCCAAGGGUUGGGUUGUUCUCCCAUUAAAGCGGUACGUGAGCUAGGUUCAGAACGUCAUGAGACAGUUUGGUCCAUAUCUGGUACGGGCAUUAGAGCAUUGAGAGGACCUUUCCCUAGUACGAGAGGACCGGGAAGGACGCACCUCUGGUGUACCAGUUAUCAUGCCCACGGUAGACGCUGGGUAGCCAAGUGCA